rnacentral:rRNA from 1 species
UAGCAAUACGAUGGAAAAUUUAGUGGCGAACGGGUGCUUAACACGUGGGCAACCUGCCAGGAAGUGGGGGAUAGCUCGCCGAAAGGCGAAUUAAUACCGCAUGUGAUUAGAGAGGACAUCCUUUCGAAAUUAAAGUCGGGGCAACCUGACGCUUUUUGUGGGGCCCGCGGCCUAUCAGCUAGUUGGUGAGGUAAUGGCUCACCAAGGCUUUGACGGGUAGCUGGUCUGAGAGGACGACCAGCCACACUGGGACUGAGACACGGCCCAGACACCUACGGGUGGCAGCAGUCGAGAAUUUUUGACAAUGGGGGAAACCCUGAUCGAGCGACGCCGCGUGGAGGAUGAAGGUCUUCGGAUUGUAAACUCCUGUCAUUGGGGAACAAUGCGCAAAUAUUAACUGUAUUUGUGUUGAUAGUACCCGAAGAGGAAGAGACGGCUAACUCUGUGCCAGCAGCCGCGGUAAUACAGAGGUCUCAAGCGUUGUUCGGAUUCAUUGGGCGUAAAGGGUGCGUAGGCGGCGCGGUAAGUCGGGUGUGAAAUCUCGGAGCUUAACUCCGAAACUGCAUUCGAUACUGCCGUGCUUGAGGACUGGAGAGGAGACUGGAAUUCUCGGUGUAGCA